UUUCCGUAGGUGAACCUGCGGAAGGAUCAUUAACGU
rnacentral:rRNA from 2 species